GAUAAUAACGUAUCAGAUCCCUAAACUAAUUCACUUGAUUGAAAUCUUCGUUCGAGAGUUGAAAAUAUUGAAACCGUAGAUCGUGAAUUUUCAGUUCCAAUCAUGAGUUCUACUACUUCGCUGGCAUAAUUAAAAUUAUGUCAGCGAAGUAUUAUAAAUAUUGUAUAAGGACUCGUGAAUAGAACAUGCGAGGAACCCCUGUUCUCGAGCAUCCUCCGUCACGCCAAUGAAUCGUCCAAAGCAAUGUGUAUUACAACUAUGUACGAUUCGAGAAGUUAAUCGAAAUACUAAAAAAUUAUAUCCGAAAUCUAGAGGAAAAAUCUACAAGAUAAGCGUACAGAAUUGCUUCUUGUCGGGGAUGAUGCGCGUGAACGAGAACAAUUUAUAAACAGCCACACUUAGUCGCGAAAAAGAAAAAUGAUACGCCAACUGUCUUUCCAUACAGAAUUCUGAGAGAGUUGCACCAAGUACAUCGAUGAGCAAGAAUGAAAACCAAUUAAAGAUAUUUGGAAAUAAAUAAUCUGCAAGUGAAGAAGAACUGAGGAAUCAAAACAUCACUUUUUUUCGGAUAUAGGAUGCUGUAAACUUCGAAGCUUAGAACAUCCGAUAUCCGAAAAAAAAACAACAACCAAAGAGCUCAGAAAGAUAUUGUGAGUACAGUUCCAAGUCAGUUUUUUUCGAGAGCUUUUCAGACCACCUAUAUAGAGAUGAUUCUCUCAUUAUUUUCAAUUGAUGCGGUUGAACUGAUUCUUAAGAUAAUUCUGCAACUUUAGAUACUGCCAAUACGUACACACAGCACGCUCAGCACAAGAACAUUUAUGGAAAUAAUUUAAUGAGAAUUACGCAGGCACAGAAGCUAUCAACUAUCUAAUUACCUACGUCAUUGAAAUGCAAGAAGGAGAUGAUGGAAUGCCGAUUACUGAAAGAAAACACAGAAUUAAAUAUGUGUGAUGUCUUGAACGCUUUUAUAAAAUAUUGCUCGAUGAAUAAAAACUAUAGAAAUAAUGAACUAAUUCGACAACUAAAGUCGUUAAACGCAUUUUCACAUAAUUUAACUAAUUUUUAACGUUUUUUCAACAAUGUUUUGUACAUAUUAUAAUAUUUUAAUUAAAGAGUUUUUUUGAGCUA